rnacentral:tRNA from 1 species
AGUUGCUGAAAAGUUUUUAUUUUGAAAAUAGGAUAAAAAGUGAUAAUACACUUUGCAGCUU